rnacentral:rRNA from 1 species
GACGAACGCUGGCGGCGUGCUUAACACAUGCAAGUCGAACGGAAAGGCCCUGCUUUUGUGGGGUGCUCGAGUGGCGAACGGGUGAGUAACACGUGAGUAACCUGCCCUUGACUUUGGGAUAACCUCAGGCAACUGGGGCUAAUACCGGAGAGGAGCUCCUGCUGCAUGGGGGGGGUUGGAAAGUUUCGGCGGUUGGGGCUGGACUCGCGGCUUAUCAGCUUGUUGGUGGGGUAGUGGCUUACCAAGGCUUUGACGGGUAGCCGGCCUGGGAGGGUGACCGGCGACCUUGGGCCUGCGAUAGGGCCCAGACUCCUACGGGAGGCAGCGGGGGGAAGUAUUGCACAGUGGGCGGGAGUCUGAUGCAGCGACGCCGCGAGCGGGAAGACGGCCUUCGGGUUGUAAACCGCUUUAGCCUGUGACCAAGCGUGAGUGACGGUAAUGGGUAAAGAAGCACCGGCUAACUACGUG